GCCGGGAUUAGAAUCCAGGUCCUCUGACUCCCAGGCCCGAGCUCUUUCCACUAGGCCACGCUGCUUCUCACCGUUCCGCCGAACACGACGUGGAGCCCUACUCCUUCGGAGGCGGUCGGCUAGGCUUUCGGACAACCGAGGCACGAUCGCUCCCUCACGCCUCUCAGCAUCGGCUCGAGGAUGCCGGGAUGCAAUCAGUGGCCACAGAGUGGCACGGACUCCCGCGGCCUGCCUCUCGGACCUUGCCCUCUGGCUGAGCACGCCAUGGCAGACGCCACAUUUCAUCAGCGAGGGCGUAAACACAAAGUCCAGUUUAUCACCGCUUAAAAAACCAAACAAACCCACUCACGACGACGGACAGAAACAUCCGCUCUGACAGUUCGGGACAGGCGUCUGUUCCAUCCUGCCUUGCGCUCCUCCGCGGAUCAAGGGAGACCGAAAGGUUUUCUUCACUGUCAUCCGGUCCCGUUCUCUCAGGAAGACUGCAGAAGCAGCGUGGUUCAGUGGAAAGAGCCCGGGCUCGGGAGUCAGAGGACGUGGGUUCGAAUCCCGGCUUCGCCACUUGUCAGCUGUGUGACCUUGGGCUGGAUCUGCUUCUGAAAUCCUGCCCAACCCUGACAAUAAGGAGAGAAGGAAAAUAUGUAAUCCCCAUCUGAAUCUCACCCAGUAAAGCUUUUUCUUGUUCCAUUCAGCCACAGAAUCAGAUCGAAGGAUAUUAUGUACAAGAUUCUGAUGGGGGGAGGGGAGGAAGGGGGAGGCGGAUUUGAAAGAUUACCCAAAAAGAGGGCUGCUUUUUUAUAUUUUCUAGGGACUUCAGGGGGAUUUUCAGAGUUUCUUCUUACUUUCUUAAUCCUUCUGGCCCAAUGUUAAAAGUGCCCCAGUGCCAAAGGGCUACGUUCACUAUUGUUAGUACUAUUACCGCUGUGGCAUUUAUCAUUUAUUUAUUUUGGCUUUCUCAGGGCCAAGGUCGGUGCAAAGUGCUGACGUAGAUAUGAUACUCAAAUCGGAUGUAGUCUCUGUCCCACGCGGGGUUCACGAUGUAGCCUGGCAGAUGCAAACUACUCAUCUGAGUAUCUUGAAAAGAAGCAAUCACCACUUACUGAGAGCUAAAUGUUUCUCACAAGAGGUGCCAAGAUCGGCUUCUCUUCAGACUCGUGAAGAAGGUGCCAAUCAUCACUUGGAGGUGGUCAAGGGAUCCAUUCCGGAUUGGUUGAGAGAAUGGCUGGUUCCUUCAGCGGAGGCCACCGACGCGUCGACGGGGAGCUAAUCCCGGCUCUGCCACACACCCGCUGUGUGACCUUGGGCAAGUCACUUCACUUCUCUGGGCCUCAGU